rnacentral:rRNA from 1 species
CCUACGGGUGGCAGCAGUGGGGAAUAUUGCACAAUGGGGGAAACCCUGAUGCAGCGACGCCGCGUGAGCGAAGAAGUAUUUCGGUAUGUAAAGCUCUAUCAGCAGGGAAGAAAAUGACGGUACCUGAGUAAGAAGCUCCGGCUAAAUACGUGCCAGCAGCCGCGGUAAUACGUAUGGAGCAAGCGUUAUCCGGAUUUACUGGGCGUAAAGGGAGCGUAGGCGGUCUGCCAGUCUGGUGUGAAAAACCGAGGCUCAACCCCGAGGCUGCAUUGGAAACUGGCAGGCUGGAGUGCAGGAGAGGCAGGCGGAAUUCCUAGUGUAGCGGUGAAAUGCGUAGAUAUUAGGAGGAACACCAGUGGCGAAGGCGGCCUGCUGGACGGUGACUGACACUGAGGCUCGAAAGCGUGGGGAGCAAACAGGAUUAGAUACCCCAGUAGUC